UGUCCGUAGGUGAACCUGCGGAAGGAUCAUUCAUAAUAAAGUGUUUUAUGGCACUUUUUAAAAAUCCAUAUCCACCUUGUGUGCAAUGUUAGAUCUCGUCAAUCUUGGCGAGAUUUUUAUACAUCAACUCAUUCUUUAACUAAUUUGUCUGAAAAAUAUUAUGAAUACUAAAUUCAAAAUACAACUUUCAACAACGGAUCUCUUGGCUCUC
rnacentral:misc_RNA from 1 species